CGAAUGGAGCGAGCGUUGUUCGGAAUCACUGGGCGUAAAGCGUGCGCAGGCGGUUGUGAAAGUCAGGAGUGAAUCCCAGGGCUCAACCCUGGAAUUGCUCUUGAAACUCCACAACUAGAGUACUGGAGGGUUAGCGGAAUUCCGAGUGUAGCAGUGAAAUGCGUAGAUAUUCGGAGGAACACCAAUGGCGUAGGCAGCUAACUGGACAGUAACUGACGCUCAUGCACGAAAGCGUGGGAUCAAACAGGAUU
rnacentral:rRNA from 1 species